rnacentral:rRNA from 1 species
GACGAACGCUGGCGGCGCGCCUAACACAUGCAAGUCGAACGGAGCUUAGAGAGCUUGCUUUUUAAGCUUAGUGGCGAACGGGUGAGUAACGCGUGAGUAACCUGCCCUAGAGUGGGGGACAACAGUUGGAAACGACUGCUAAUACCGCAUAAGCCCACGGUGCCGCAUGACACUGAGGGAAAAGGAUUUAUUCGCUUUAGGAUGGACUCGCGUCCAAUUAGCUAGUUGGUGAGGUAACGGCCCACCAAGGCGACGAUUGGUAGCCGGACUGAGAGGUUGAACGGCCACAUUGGGACUGAGACACGGCCCAGACUCCUACGGGAGGCAGCAGUGGGGGAUAUUGCACAAUGGGGGAAACCCUGAUGCAGCGACGCCGCGUGGAGGAAGAAGGUUUUCGGAUUGUAAACUCCUGUCGUUAGG